UGACCAUCUAAUUUAUUCCUGACCUAAAAAGUAGAGGAAAAAACAAAGUAUAUUGUGCCAUUAAGUUCCAGCUGAAUAAAGAAACUGUUGCUAAUCUUU